rnacentral:rRNA from 1 species
UUUGAGAGUUUGAUCCUAGCUCAGGAUAAACGCUGGCGGCGUGCCUUAGGCAUGCAAGUCGAAUGCAGACGCAAGUCGUGCAUGGCAGACGGGUGAGUAACGCGUAGGAAUCUACCCCUUGGUGUGGAAUAACCCCGAGAAAUCGGGGAUAAUACCGCAUAAGUUCUCCGGAAGAAAGGCCAUAACUGGCCGCCGAGGGAGGAGCCUGCGUCCUAUCAGCUUGUUGGUGAGGUAAUGGCUCACCAAGGCUAUAACGGGUAGGGGGCGUGAGAGCGUGUCCCCCCACAAGGUCACUGAGACACGGGGCCUACACCUACGGGUGGCAGCAACUAGGAAUUUUGCGCAAUGGGCGAAAGCCUGACGCAGCGACGCCGCGUGCGGGAUGACGGCCUUUUUGGUUGUAAACCGCUGUGGAGAGGGAAGAUAAUGACGGUACCUCUCUAGAAAGCACCUGCUAACUACGUGCCAGAAGCCUCGGUGAUACGUAGGGUGCAAGCGUUAUCCGGAUUUACUGGGCGUAAAGAGUAUCGUAGGCGGCUGAAUAAGUGAUUGGUGAAAUCCUUGGGCUCAACCCAAGAACUGCCAGUCAUACUGUUUAGCUAGAGUGACUUCGGAAAGGUUGGAAUUCUCGGUGUAGGGGUGAAAUCCGUUGAUAUCGAGAAGAACACCAAGGGCGAAGGCAGAUCUUUAGGAGUUUACUGACGCUGAUGAACGAAAGCUUGGGGAGCAAAAGG